rnacentral:rRNA from 1 species
CUGCUGCCUCCCGUAGGAGUCUGGUCCGUGUCUCAGUACCAGUGUGGGGGGCCUUCCUCUCAGAACCCCUACGCAUCGUCGCCUCGGUGGGCCGUUACCCCGCCGACCUAGCUAAUGCGCCGCAUGCCCAUCCGUGGCCGGGAUUGCUCCCUUGGCGGCCUUGGGAUGCCCCAAGGCCGCGUUACGCGGUAUUAGACGGGGUUUCCCCCGCUUAUCCCCCUGCCACGGGCAGGUUGCCAUACGUGUUACUCACCCGUGCGCCGGUCGCCGGCAACGG